AUACGGAGGAUGCAAGCGUUAUCCGGAUUUAUUGGGUUUAAAGGGUGCGUAGGCGGAUGAUUAAGCGUGAGGUGAAAUGCCACUGCUCAACAGUGGAACUGCCUCGCGAACUGGUUGUCUUGAAUGCUCCUGCCGUGGGAGGAAUGUGUGGUGUAGCGGUGAAAUGCAUAGAGAUCACACAGAACACCGAUUGCGAAGGCAUCUCACGAAGGGGUGAUUGACGCUGAGGCACGAAAGCGUGGGGAUCAAACAGGAUUAGAUACCCUGGUAGUCCACGCAGUAAACGAUGAUAACUAACCGCUGGGUCGUAGUGAUUCAGUGGCCAAGCGAAAGCGAUAAGUUAUCCACCUGGGGAGUACGACCGCAAGGUUGGAACUCAAAGGAAUUGACGGGG
rnacentral:rRNA from 1 species